UGGAAAUACAAGGAUAUACAAUAUAAAGCAAGUGUCAAGGAGCUGAGAGAUUACGAUACAAAUGACCACCUCAUCUUUGGUGUGUUUUAGGUGUAGCACCAUCCAUCAUGUCGUUUCAUCUCCCCUUCAAUUACACAUACACCCCCACACGUCAGACAACCCUCAUGCCACCAUCAAUUCUCUUUUCACCACUACUUACUGACUAAGCUUUACCCAAGAUUAAGGAAAACGAAAUGCAAUCCUUGGUGUGUUGUCACAAAGAUAUCAAUUUGCAUAGCUAUAACCAACAGAAUAAUGAAUUAGAUAUCCGCCAACGAUAUGCAAUCACAAAAUUGCUCUUAUACUUUCGCAUAGUACCAAAUUCUCAAAUAAGUUGGGACAAAAUAAACACUUUUAUUGUUGAUAGCUUCUUGACAUGUGGCAAAACCCAACACUAAUUAAUAAAAAGAUAAACGAAUUUAAAAAUGAGGAAUUGAAACAAACCAUCAAAAUGGAAGGUAGAAGUCCAUCUCCAUCAUUACAUAUUUCAUGAAAAUCAAGAACGCAAUCAAUUUAUAGAUGACAUAUUCCAUCUGCUUGUAAUCUUAUUACUGGAUAUCCAUCUUUUGCGUACUCUGGAUUUACCGAAACAUAAAAAAUCAUUAUUUAUUCCUUUGCUUUCAUAAAAUACAUGUUAAAUUAGUAAAAGAGCAUAAAUAGAAAGGAAAUUUUAUGGUAAAGCCAUACACGGUGACAUCAAAGUCAAGAGCCUAAAUUGAGUUAAUUCACUAAAAAAACAUAGAAGGAGAAGAAUAAAGAUAUACCGACAUGUUAACUUAUUCCAAUAGGUUGACCUAACAAAAAGACGCAACCACUGUAGAAAUGAAGUUGCAAUUAUAGUCAAUUCUCUUUUACUACAAUUAUAGUCAAUUCAACAUAACUAUUCGUUACUCUUUUUAGUUUAAUGAAGUUGCACAUAACCCUCAAUAUCUUAGACUUUAUAUGGGCGUCACAUACAUUGAAGUUUACAACGUAUUCAAGAACAUAAUGAUUUGAGUAUGAUCUAAUAUAAUCUAAUAUGCACGGGAUAAUAACAAAUUAGAAUGAAAAUCCAAAUUAGUUUAAUGAAGUUGCACAUAACCCUCAAUAUCUUAGACUUUAUAUGGGCGUCACAUACAUUGAAGUUUACAACGUAUUCAAGAACAUAAUGAUUUAAGUAUGAUCUAAUAUAAUCUAAUAUGCACGGGAUAAUAACAAAUUAGAAUGAAAAUCCAGAAAAUUGGUUCAAGCAUUUCAUCGAGUAGUUGGAAUGCAUCAUAAAAUUUUCUUUCAAAUGUUAACCCAAUCCACACAGAAGAACACAGAAUCUAAAAAAACAAACAUUUUAACAGAGAAUUGUACUUAGGUAUAAAACAAUCAAUAAAACAUCAAACUAUAGAUGUAAACAAGGAACUGAACACAAAAUUAAAAUAAUAAUAAUAAUAAUAAUAAUAAUAAUAAUAAUAAUAAUAAUAAAUAGGCGUUUACAUCUUCUUGAGUAAGAAAGGGAUAGAGAACAGGCAGGCAACAAGUUGACCAGCUUAUGAAGGAGGCAACGAUAUGGGCGGAAAAACAAAGCAUGUGGUGCUGGCAGAGGAAACAAGCGUACAAGAACAAAGAAAAAAUCGCAUAAACCUUACCAAAAUUAUAUAAGUACCUUAAAUACAGAAGAAAGAUGGAGUCUGCGUGACGGGGAAGUCAAGAGGGUGACUCAGCCAAUUAAGGAAAGGUGGUGGUAAAAGAGGAUCCAAAAGUGGCAAGCAGAACAUCCGCAUCUUCAUUUUUCAAAUCUUGUCCAUGUACUUUGGAGCAUUCCUAAUUAGGGAAAACAACACGGAGAAAUGAGAUGGCAAAAUCCUCAAUCGAAACAAGAUUAAAGAAAACAAACAAAUAAAAAGCAUAGGAAUUAAAAAAAGAGUUAUUACCUUUACUCAAUAGCCAAGAACCAAAAGCCCUAAAAUCGAAACUGAAGAGCAUUUGGAAAUCGGUCUUUGUUUCUUGUUUUUUCCCAUUAGAAGCAAAAUUGUCCACAAUUUCAUGUUGCAAUGAAAUACCAAUUCAAUAUCAAACAAAGAUCAUAGUUGAAGAACUAAAGAAAUCGAAGUAUUAUGAUGCCAGUAUCGUAGGAGAGACAACAGCCGGUGGUGAUGGUUGUGGUGAGGUGGUGGCCGAGAGAGAUGACCAGGGGCUCUUUAGGGUUAGUGUGGAGAUAGAUAGAGUGAAGAGGAGAAACGGUAAUGAGCCAGGUAGCAAUAGCACCAUGGUUGAUUGAUUAAUUUGUGAUUGUGUUAUGUGAUAAGCAAGCAACAGAGGGCAGUUCGAGUUACAGAGGGGGCUUACUAAAAUCGCCGGAGAAGUGACAUACUCAAAAAACAUAAACCAACAUCGUUUCAAAGAGAAAAAAGAUUCAGAUAGAAGGGGAUGUCUCAUGAGCUAUACAAUCUAGUCGGAUUACCUGUGAGGUAUAAAAAAAAUGGGAGAGAAAAGGCUUUCUUGAGGAAGGAAGUGAAAGUGGUGGGAAAGCCAUAUGGUGGGAUAUAGG
rnacentral:lncRNA from 1 species